UACGUAGGGUGCAAGCGUUAAUCGGAAUUACUGGGCGUAAAGCGUGCGCAGGCGGUGAUGUAAGUCAGGUGUGAAAUCCCCGGGCUUAACUUGGGAACUGCAUUUGUGACUGCAUUGCUGGAGUGCGGCAGAGGGGGAUGGAAUUCCGCGUGUAGCAGUGAAAUGCGUAGAUAUGCGGAGGAACACCGAUGGCGAAGGCAAUCCCCUGGGCCUGCACUGACGCUCAUGCACGAAAGCGUGGGGAGCAAACAGG
rnacentral:rRNA from 1 species